GCAGAGAGAUCAAUGAUUGAUGAGACAGAGCAAAGCAGCAGCAUCAGAAGGGCUGAGUUUGGAAGCCAACUGAAUCGACAUCCUGGAGCACAGCUUGUCGGGGAGCUAUGCAACCACCCGGGCAAAAAUCUGCUGGAGCAAAUGGAAUGGAGACGGACAUUGACCAGUCAUCGCAGGGUCAUGUGCAGGCUGGGAGAGCAAAGUAUCCAGCCGGAAGACAUCCAGAGAUGGACAUGUCACCAUUCCCUUGGCAGUAUGUUCCAAAAGCUUUUACAUCCCCAAAAGUGCCGCGGUUUGACAACGGUGAGCACAGGCCGCGCCAUGAAGUUUUUAUAGAGCAUUUUAC